rnacentral:lncRNA from 1 species
UUAUAACAUAAUCAAAUAUUCAAGAGCAUAUAAAAAUGAAUUACAAUAGAAGGAUGAAGCUACUAAUAUUUUUCAGCAUUAUUAUCUUUCAUUCCAACUCGAUUUUAUGAGUUUACAUGGUCCGAAAAUUACCUGAACAACAGAAAGAAGAAUAAAUACAGCAGAGUCAGCUCUUUCCAAAAUCAACAGCAAAACAAUUAAACGGGCAGCACUAACAGCAAAAGACAGCGACAACCGGCAGAUUCAAACCCAAGAAAAUAAACUAGAAAUACCCCAGCAAAAUAAUACAAUUAUGUAACUCCAAAAAAAUCUUUCAAGACUACUCUAUUUUCCUUAAACAAAAUUUUCACUUAAGAAUCAACUCACAAAAGCUGCUAAGAGAUAUUAUAGCUACUGAUUUUUUUUUCUCUUUUUUGUGUGUAGAGCUCCCUCCAGUCAGAUGGAGUGUCCUCCUUUUUAUAUCAAAACAACCAGCUAUUUCAAAAAAUAAAAAAACAAUCUUUUUGACAGAUUUUUCUACAAAAUCUGCUCUUAAAUUCAAAAAUCAAGACUUUCUGGUUCAAAUCUUGUCAAGUAUUUCAAACAAAAUCUUCUCUCCACUAUUUAAAGACAAACUUUUUAUUCAUACACUAUCCAAAAGUCUACAUUUUCUUACCAAACAAUUUGACUUUUGAGUGUUGUACUCAAAGAGUCUUGAAGCAGAAAAUAAACAACCAAACAAGUACCAUAUACUCUUAGGUAUUCUUCACUACCUCACUUUUAUUAAUAUAAAACUAUUUUACUACUUCAACAAGUGCAAAAACAGAAAUUUUAACAUUUCAAACUUCAAAAACUAAUGCUAAAAUAAUUAAUAAUAGACAAAAUAAAAUUUUAAAAAUAAAAAUAAAAUAAAAUCAACCACAAAAAAGGAUAGGAUUUUUACCAUUUUACAAUUCAAGUGGCCGAAAAAAUGGUGGUAUGCCAAAAGAGGGCGUUCGGGAAGGCCGCCGGAAUUUGGCCGGAUUUUGGUUGCCGGAUUUUUAGGGUGAAAUUGGCAUCAAUAGCUAGGUCUUGAAGAGCUCUAUCCAUUGAUGUAGGUAUUGUGGGGUGGUAGUGGUCGGAGCUUCAAGAAUUUGGGCAAAAAAGUGGCGGUUAAAACUUCCAUGAUCUAAGAUUCAAGGAGUUUGAGGGGGUUUUGAAGGAUUUGGUGUGGAGAUAUGGAAAGAGGAGGUGUUGGAGAUUACAUGGUGAAAAUUUGAGAUGGUUUGGACGUGGUCCGCCGCCGGUGAGCGAUUUCCGACAGUGGUGGAGGGGCGGCGGUUAUGGAGAAAGAGAGAGAGAAAAGAUAGAGAAGAGAGAGGGAGGAGAAAAUAAUUACGGGAGAAUUGGGGGCAAAAUUUCAGUAUUUCUAAGUCUUAAAUACCUAGUUGGAAGAUUGAUUGUGGAC